UACGGGGGGGGCAAGCGUUGUUCGGAAUUACUGGGCGUAAAGGGCUCGUAGGUGGCCAACUAAGUCAGACGUGAAAUCCCUCGGCUUAACCGGGGAACUGCGUCUGAUACUGGAUGGCUUGAGAUUGGGAGAGGGACGCGGAAUUCCAGGUGUAGCGGUGAAAUGCGUAGAUAUCUGGAGGAAUACCGGUGGCGAAGGCGGCUCUCUGGGACGGUACUGACGCUGAGACGCGAAAGCGUGGGGAGCGAACAGG
rnacentral:rRNA from 1 species